GACGAACGCUGGCGGCGUGCCUAAUACAUGCAAGUAGGACGCAGUUGCGAACGGGUGAGUAAAGCGUCGGUCACUGCCUAUUAGAGGGGGCUAACUAUUGGAAACGAUUGCUUAUACCGCAUAUUAGUAGAUGGAACUGCGUUGUAUUAGCUAUUCGGUAGGGUCAUGGCCUACCUAGGCGACGAUACGUAGCCGACCUGGGAGGUUGAUCGGCCACACUGGGACUGAGACACGGCCCAGACUCCUACGGGAGGCAGCAGUGGGGAAUCUUCGGCAAUGGGGGGAAGCCUGACCGAGCAACGCCGCGUGAGUGAAGAAGGUUUUCGGAUCGUAAAGCUCUGUUGUUAAGGAAGCGGUACCUAACCAGAAAGGGACGGCUAACUACGUGCCAGUAGCCGCGGUAAUAC
rnacentral:rRNA from 1 species